GCUACAGUGCUACUGGCCCAUAAUCAGGCAACUGCAGAGUCUUAGGGGGUUAUCUAAUGUAGUCUUGGGGUGGCUGGAUAGACUUCCCAAAGAAGGUGAUGCCGAAGCUGAGGUCGGAAAUUACGAAGAUCAGCUAUCAAACUUGGAAAUCAUGUCUUAGAGAUCAAGGAGCCAAGAGAUGAGACAAGCCUGGGUUCCUAGGUGAUAGGGUGUGGCUGUGUCCCCACCCAAAUCUCGUCUUGAAUUGUAGCUCCCAUAAUCCCCACAUGUUGUGGAGGGACCCUGUGGAAGAUCUUUAAUAAAUGAAAUAAAUGUGACUGUAUGUCCUACAUCCCAUUCCUGUUGUCUUCCAUGUCUCCUCAGAGGAAUGAAGCAACGAUAUCUCCUAAAACACCAGGAUUUGCUAAAGAUAAUGAUAGAUUAAUUGUGAACAGCCUGAAGUAUCAAGUAGCCUACUCACUGUGAAGACAAUGAGGGUGAAAACCUUCAUGAUGAUCCACUUCCACUUCAUGAACAGGAAAUAUGUUUUUUCUCUUCCUUAUGAUUUUUUAAAAACAUUUUCUUUUCUCUUGCAUGCUUGAUUGUAAGAGUGCAGUACAUAUUAUAUAUAUAUAAUAUACAAAAUAUGUGUUAAUCAGCUAUGUGUUAGCCAACUAUGUUAUUAAUGUAAGACUUUUUAUGAUUUUCUAUAUAACAUUUUCUUUUUUCUAGCUUACUUUAUUAUAGGAAUACAGUAUACAGUACGUACAACAUGCAAAAUCAGUGUUAAUCAACAGUUUAUGUUAUUGGCAAGGCUUCAGGUCAAUAGUAGGCUAUUUGUAGUUAAGUUUUCUAGUUAAAGUUGUAUGUGGAUUUUCACCCGCUUGGGGGUUCGGCACCCCUAAGCUCUGUUUUGCUCAAGGUCAACUGUAUAAUUUUUCAGCCUUGGCCCAUUGGCAAAUGGACAGAAACAUUUGUAAACUUUGCAACUACAAAGAAAAGUACAGUUUGGGGGCAAUAAAAAGUUAAAAUUUCUUUUGGAUAUUGAUAGAAACUUCAAAGAAAGAUGAUGCAAGACUAUGAAUACAAAUAAGUUUUAAAAAUCAUGUCAAAGAUGAUUCCUUUUAUUGUUCUUAGAACACUGUAAUGUAUAGAAUAAACUCAGUUUUAAAUGUA
ensembl:lncRNA CCDC26 CCDC26 long non-coding RNA